rnacentral:lncRNA from 1 species
AUACACAAAUAAUGCUAAAUUCUUGAAUGAAAAUAAUAUGAAAGGCUUCAUCAUUGAAGCAAGAAACAAUAUUGAAUUGAACUCCAUAAAAGGAAGAAAGGAAUACAAAUGGAACUGGACUAAGUUCCAUAUAAAAGACACUCCAUUGUAGGAGGAGAAGAAACCUCCAUGGAAGGAGGGAUUGGAGAGAAACUACAAUCCAAUGAUCUAAAAGUUAUACAAGGUCUGGUAUUUAUAGAGAAAAUGAGUAACUAAACUACCAACUAAUUAAUAGUUGUAGAAAGAAUCUGGGAGCUGGAGACAGCUGGGAGAAUCCGUGUGGAAGGCUGGAGAUUUAAUCUGAUCCAUUGGAAUCUCUGGAAUCUGGUUGAGUUGGAAGAGAACCUGCUGGAUUGAUCUGGUGCAGCUUGGUUGAUGUUGAUCACAUAUUCUAACAAAUAACAUUCCUCAAAUCGCAAUAUGCAAUAAUAAG